UAAUACGGAGGGUGCAAGCGUUAAUCGGAAUUACUGGGCGUAAAGCGCACGCAGGCGGUUUGUUAAGUCAGAUGUGAAAUCCCCGAGCUUAACUUGGGAACUGCAUUUGAAACUUGCAAGCUAGAGUCUUGUAGAGGGGGGUAGAAUUCCAGGUGUAGCGGUGAAAUGCGUAGAGAUCUGGAGGAAUACCGGUGGCGAAGGCGGCCCCCUGGACAAAGACUGACGCUCAGGUGCGAAAGCGUGGGGAGCAAACAGGAUUAGAUACCCUGGUAGUCCACGCUGUAAACGAUGUCGACUUGGAGGUUGUGCCCUUGAGGCGUGGCUUCCGGAGCUAACGCGUUAAGUCGACCGCCUGGGGAGUACGGCCGCAAGGUUAAA
rnacentral:rRNA from 1 species